UUUCAUUCUACAUAUUAUUGUAAUUAAUAUAUCAUUAUCUUUUAUCAUUACGAUUAAGAUUUUUUAUUUAUCAAAUAUUUAAUUAUCCAAUUAAUUUUUUAAAACAUUUAGUUCCAUUAAAUUCCCCUAAAUUUCUUAUACAUUUUAUAGUAAUUAUUGAAUUAAUUCGAUUAAUUAUUCGACCUUGAACUUUAUCAAUUCGAUUAUCAUCAAAUUUAAUUUCUGGACAUUUAAUUU